rnacentral:SRP_RNA from 1 species
UAUUGGUCCUCUCGCAAUGAUAGGUUGUUAACCCCGUCAGGCCCGGAAGGGAGCAGCGGCAGCAGCCGACUCAUGUGCCGGGGUGUGGCUGAUACGG